rnacentral:rRNA from 1 species
GACGGAGGAUGCAAGUGUUAUCCGGAAUCACUGGGCGUAAAGCGUCUGUAGGUGGUCAAAUAAGUCAACUGUUAAAUCUUGAGGCUCAACCUCAAAAUCGCAGUCGAAACUAUUAGACUAGAGUAUAGUAGGGGUAAAGGGAAUUUCCAGUGGAGCGGUGAAAUGCGUAGAGAUUGGAAAGAACACCGAUGGCGAAGGCACUUUACUGGGCUAUUACUAACACUCAGAGACGAAAGCUAAGGGUAGCAAAUGGG